AGAGUUUGAUCCUGGCUCAGAACGAACGCUGGCGGCAUGCCUAACACAUGCAAGUCGAACGCCCCGGGCAACCGGGGAGUGGCGGACGGGUGAGUAACGCGUGGGAACCUGCCUCGAAGUCUGGAAUAACCGCGGGAAACUGCGGCUAAUACCGGAUGUGGCCUGAGGGCCAAAGGGGAAACUCGCUUCGAGAGGGGCCCGCGUCCGAUUAGCUAGUUGGCGGGGUAACGGCCCACCAAGGCGACGAUCGGUAGCUGGUCUGAGAGGAUGAUCAGCCACACUGGGACUGCGACACGGCCCAGACUCCUACGGGAGGCAGCAGUGGGGAAUAUUGGACAAUGGGGGCAACCCUGAUCCAGCAAUGCCGCGUGAGUGAUGAAGGCCUUCGGGUUGUAAACCUCUUUUAGUAGGGAAGAAGGGCUUCGGCUUGACGGUACCUGCAGAAAAAGCACCGGCUAACUACGUGCCAGCAGCGGCGGUAAUUC
rnacentral:rRNA from 1 species